rnacentral:tRNA from 1 species
GCCCCUAUCAUCUAGCCUGGUUUAGGAUGUUUGAUUUUCAAUCAAAAAACUCGGGUUCAAAUCCCGAUGGGGGCG